rnacentral:rRNA from 1 species
AGAGUUUGAUCAUGGCUCAGGACGAACGCUGGCGGCGUGCCUAACACAUGCAAGUCGAACGAAAUCAGAAACUAGAUACUAGAGACUAGAGACUAGAAGGGGACGGAGGACAUGAAAAGCACUAAAGAGGCUUUGAAAUGUCUAUAAAGUCAGCCCGGAAAGUCUGGUGUCUGGUUUCUAGUAUCUAGUUUCUGGUUUAGUGGCGGACGGGUGAGUAACGCGUGGGCAACCUGCCUCACACUGGGGGAUAACACUGGGAAACUAGUGCUAAUACCGCAUAAUUCGAUUUCAGGGCAUCCUGGAAUCGGCAAAGGAGCAAUCCGGUGAGAGAUGGGCCCGCGUCCGAUUAGCUAGUUGGUGGAGUAACAGCCCACCAAGGCGACGAUCGGUAGCCGAACUGAGAGGUUGAUCGGCCACAUUGGGACUGAGACACGGCCCAGACUCCUACGGGAGGCAGCAGUGGGGAAUAUUGCGCAAUGGGGGAAACCCUGACGCAGCAACGCCGCGUGAAGGAUGAAGGUUUUCGGAUCGUAAACUUCUUUGAUUGGGGAAGAAUAAUGACGGUACCCAAAAAACAAGCCACGGCUAACUACGUGCCAGCAGCCGCGGUAAUACGUAGGUGGCGAGCGUUGUCCGGAAUUACUGGGUGUAAAGGGCGUGUAGGCGGGAAUAUAAGUCAGAUGUGAAAUUCCAGGGCUCAACUCUGGCGCUGCAUCUGAAACUAUAUUUCUUGAGUGCUGGAGAGGAAAGCGGAAUUCCUAGUGUAGCGGUGAAAUGCGUAGAUAUUAGGAGGAACACCAGUGGCGAAGGCGGCUUUCUGGACAGUAACUGACGCUGAGGCGCGAAAGCGUGGGGAGCAAACAGGAUUAGAUACCCUAGUAGUCC